GNNNNNNNNUGCNGUCGAGCGGAGAGAGGUAGCUUGCUACUGAUCUUAGCGGCGGACGGGUGAGUAAUGCUUAGGAAUCUGCCUAUUAGUGGGGGACAACAUUUCGAAAGGAAUGCUAAUACCGCAUACGUCCUACGGGAGAAAGCAGGGGAUCUUCGGACCUUGCGCUAAUAGAUGAGCCUAAGUCGGAUUAGCUAGUUGGUGGGGUAAAGGCCUACCAAGGCGACGAUCUGUAGCGGGUCUGAGAGGAUGAUCCGCCACACUGGGACUGAGACACGGCCCAGACUCCUACGGGAGGCAGCAGUGGGGAAUAUUGGACAAUGGGCNCNAGCCUGAUCCAGCCAUGCCGCGUGUGUGAAGAAGGCCUUAUGGUUGUAAAGCACUUUAAGCGAGGAGGAGGCUACUUUAGUUAAUACCUANAGAUAGUGGACGUUACUCGCAGAAUAAGCACCGGCUAACUCUGUGCCAGCNGCCGCGGUAAUACAGAGGGUGCAAGCGUUAAUCGGAUUUACUGGGCGUAAAGCNCGCGUAGGCGGCUAAUUAANUCAAAUGUGAAAUCCCCGAGCUUAACUUGGGAAUUGCAUUCGAUACUGGUUAGCUAGAGUGUGGGAGAGGAUGGUNGAAUUCCAGGUGUAGCGGUGAAAUGCGUANAGAUCUGGAGGANUACCGAUGGCGAAGGCAGCCAUCUGGCCUAACNCUGACGCUGAGGUGCGAAAGCNUGGGGAGCAAACANGNUUAGAUACCCUGGUAGUCCAUGCCGUAAACGAUGUCUACUAGCCGUUGGGGGCCUUUGAGGCUUUAGUGGCGC
rnacentral:rRNA from 1 species